CCCCAGCCCAGGCCCAGAGGUCUGUCGGAUGGUUUCUGGUUUCUGGCGUCUGUCCGGAGGGCACAAGAAGCCUUCUGGUCCGCGGAAAGGAUGGGCAGUUACCACAGACCUUCCGGAGACCUUCCAAGAGCAGUGCUUAAAUUAGACAACUUCCAAGCCUUCAGUGCCCCUGCUGUAAGACUGAAUCCUCCAGAAUUCUAGAGCUUCGCUGAGAAUAAUCCAAAGUGUCUAUGACUUUUAUUCUGCUGGUCACGGAUGUAGGACACAUCAAAGCUUUCAUCUCAGAUGCUUCUCCAGAUGUAACAUGAGGUCUACACCAUUCUCCAGCACCGUCACCCUGGAUGGAAAGGUUUCUACAUAAUAGCCUUCAGGGAUCGGAAACAUGAACCACGUUCAAGCAGUAGUGCCCUGUUUUUGCAAACGAAGAUACUAAACACAAGAGGGACUAAGAGAUUGGCCAAGAUCAUAGAGGGACAUGCAUCCAGCUAACCCAAUUGAUCUUGUUUGCUUUUCUGUUUACUGUGAUUAAAAAAAAAAACCCUUCUGA